rnacentral:rRNA from 1 species
UACGUAGGGAGCGAGCGUUGUCCGGAUUCAUUGGGCGUAAAGAGCUCGUAGGCGGCCACUCAAGUCGAAUGUGAAACCUCGAGGCUUAACCUCGAGCCUGCAUUGGAUACGGGGCGGCUAGAGUCUGGUAGGGGGAUCUGGAAUUCCUGGUGUAGCGGUGGAAUGCGCAGAUAUCAGGAGGAACACCGGUGGCGAAGGCGGGAUCCUGGGCCAUUACUGACGCUGAGGAGCGAAAGCGUGGGGAGCAAACAGG